GGUACGGUGGGGCAAGCGGCCGAGGUAGUACGGAGGAUCGAAGCGGUUUGCGGAGUUAUGUGGGUUAAAGGGUGAGCAGGGGGAAGGUGAAGUCGGCGGUGAAAGUUGGCAGCUCAACUGUAAAAGUGCCGUCGAAACUGGCCGUCUUGAGUAUGGAUGAAGUAGGCGGAAUUUGUGGUGUAGCGGUGAAAUGCAUAGAUAUCACGAGGAACUCCGAUUGCGCAGGCAGCGUACUAAACCAUAACUGACGCUCAUGCACGAAGGCGUGGGGAUCGAACAGGAUUAGAUACCCUUGUAGUC
rnacentral:rRNA from 1 species